rnacentral:rRNA from 1 species
GUUUACAGCCAUACCAUGUUGAAAACACUGGUUCUUGUCUGAUCACCGAAGUUAAGCAACAUCAAGCCUAGUUAAUACUUAGAUGGAUGACUGCUUGGGAAACCUUGGUGUUGUAAACG